UGGCGAACGGGUGAGUAACGCGUGAGGAACCUGCCUCAAAGAGGGGGACAACAGUUGGAAACGACUGCUAAUACCGCAUAAGCCCACGGGUCGGCAUCGACCUGAGGGAAAAGGAGCAAUCCGCUUUGAGAUGGCCCCGCGUCCGAUUAGCUAGUUGGUGAGGUAACGGCCCACCAAGGCGACGAUCGGUAGCCGGACUGAGAGGUUGAACGGCCACAUUGGGACUGAGACACGGCCCAG
rnacentral:rRNA from 1 species